GACGAACGCUGGCGGCGUGCUUAACACAUGCAAGUCGAACGGAAAGGCCCUGCUUUUGUGGUGUGCUCGCGUGGCGCACGGGGGUGUAACACGUGAGUAUCCUGUCCUUGACUGUGGGAUAACUUCUGGAAACUCGGGCUAUUACCGGAUAGGAGCUCCUGCUGCAUGGUGGGGGUUGGAAAGUUUCGGCGGUUGGGGCUGGACGGGCGGCUUAUCAGCUUGUUAGUGGGGGAGUGGCUGACCAAGGCUUUGCGGGGUAGCCGGCCUGAGCGGGUGACCGGGGACCAUAGGACUGAGGUACGGAGCAGAAGGGAACGGGAGGCAGCGGUGGGGAAUAUGACGCAGUGGGCGGGAGUGAGAGGCGGAGGCGCCGCGUGCGGGAAGACGGCUUUUGGGUUGAAAACCACUGUCGCCUGAGACGAAGCGGGAGUGACGGUAAUGAGUAAAGAAGCAACGGCUAACUACGUG
rnacentral:rRNA from 1 species